AUCGCGGGGCGGGGCGCGGGCGGUGCCCGGAGCCCGGCGCUGGCGGCAGACGGGGCGGUCUCCCGGAGAAAGCCUUUAUUACAAGAGGCACUUCGGCAAAUUCCUGUACAAAAGUUUGUUCCUGUACUGCUGGAGACAAGUCCACAGAGCUCAUCGGGCAUAUCUCACUGCCCAGUAGUUUGAUGCUAAUUCUGGUGUCAAUGUGAGACUUUGUUACUAAAUUCUUAGUUUUCAGAGUGUUUUGUAACACUCGUGUUUCUGCUACAAUAAAAUGAUGGUGCAGCUAA